UGGGUGCGCAUUGCGCAUCCACCAGUGCUAGUUCCUUGUACGGCAGCCUCUCUGUCUCUCUUCAGAGAGCAUACACCGAUUUCCCGUGUAUUCUCUCCCUCUCCCUCUAAAAUACCGAAAAUCCCUUCAAAAACCCUAAAAAUGCCACCCAUGUCCUGCCCCUCUCCCCUAACUUACCUUCUCUCUGUAUAAACCCUAGCCUUGAAUUCUCACAAAGACGGAGGAAAACCCUAGUUUAUAGGGUUUUUAGGGUUUCAAGGGAUUCUCGAUUGAUCUCGACCGCACAUCGAUGCCGCCUCCGCGACGAUGAAUCGCAACGGGCCCACCACCGGAUGCACCGCCUGCAACGACUCCUCGGCCCCACGCCUCCUCCACAACGUCCGGCACCGCGGCGUCUACCACCGCCUCUGCGCGUCCUGUGUCCUCAAAUUCCAUCCGGCGUCUUUCUGCCCCACCUGCCUCGAUGUCUUUGAUUCAUCCCCACCGUCGGGUUCGGUCAGAUGCUCGAAAUGCACCUCGAUCUCCCACUCGGCGUGCGUCCCAACGGAGGCCCCGGAUUCUUCUUACGUCUGCCCUAGCUGCUCAAACCCUAGCUCCACGUUCUUCAAAAUUGGCGCCUCGGGAGCUGCGGAUGGAGGCCCGGCUAUCGGGCGACUGUCGAUCGAUCUGAAGUCUUCGCAGGUGCUCCUUGCGGCUGCCCGGAUUGCCGCGGCAUCGAUGUGUAGGGCGGUGGCUGUAGCUAGAAUGGACGUGGAGAGGAAGGUUAGGGAAGCUGCGGUUGCGAGGAAGAGAGCGAGGGAAGCGCUUGAGAGAGCUGCUCUGAUUGCCUCGAAGGAGAAGGAGAAGAGAUUGAAGGGGAUUUCAGCUCCAGUUCCAGCGGUAGAACAGAAGAAGAAAUCAAAAUCAAAUAGUGCUGUUGCUGCUGCCGUGGCAGCACAGAAGCGGAUCCAAAGCAACAAGUCAGGUGGGUUUUCGGCAUCCUUGAAUAAUGUCGGAUCGGUAGGGAAGGAAAAAUUGGUUGGGUUUCAUACACCAAUUGCUGUGCAGAGACCGUCGACGAACGGUCUCUCUCUUGAGGAAAAGGAUAACUUGAAAGGGCCACCUGCUCUGGCGUCCGGGCAUCAGCAACUUCAUAACCAUGUGUUAAAAGAGGAAAAGAUGAAGAAUCAGGGCUUUUCAGGUCCAUCUACCUCCAGGCAGCUGCAUUCUGGAAGUAGUCAUGUUACAGAAGAGGAAGGAAAAUUAAAACGGUUCACGAAUUCAGAGAUGGGUCCUCCCCAGCUACCCCAGUCAAACCAAGAAGCAUCAGUAUCCAAGGCCAACUCCGGAGUCGUGUUCACUGGUUCACCAAAUAUGGCAAGUUUGAUUUCAUGAGUUGCGUUUGUGGGUCUAGUCCAAUUUCUUGCUAUUGCUGCAGGACUUAUCUGGAACUAGUUUAUGAAAGCAUGAGGAACAGAACAAAGGUAUGGUUGUCAAAAGCACAUUUCACAUUAGUUCUGCUGCUGGGUUGUCUGUGGUAGGCGGAAAUGUCAUUGGGUCGAGACAGAUGGUAGAUUUUUUGUGUGGAUCAAGGUGGAGGAUGGUGGCUCUCUAGCAGAGAGUUGAGGGGGUUUUUCAAUCAAGUCUCUUUGGAGCAGUUGCCGUUUCUCUUUGGAAGAAGAAGGAAAUUGCCAGUUUCAAUAGACGUCUCUGGGAAUCAGGUCACCUCUUCAACUUUUUUGGUUGAGAAACUUCACAAGAACUCACCAAGUUGGUUCCAAUAUUGGGUAAGUCCACUUCAGAAUACAAGUGUCUCCCAAGCGAUCGGAUCUGCAAACCCACUUAACAGGGCGAUAUUUGCUGUCAGCUUUCUGCAGCCGCACUGGGUAUUCUGAAUUGUCCCUCUUAGGUGUCCAUGCUGGGACCAUCUCCGAAGUGCACCAACAGGAAUCUUCAGAAGAUGCAUUGGUUGCACCUUUUUUUACCAAGAUGUUCUGUUUAGCCAAGCAAAGGUAUGGAGUGGUUGGAUAGGAAGGUUGCUGCGGUUGAGUUUUGUUUGGCACUGGGAGCUGUCUCUCUUAGUUUGGCAUUCAGACUGAAUUCUUCUGCUGAGUGCCUAUUGCCUACAUAUCCAGCAUCACAGAUUCUUCUGAGGCGCAGCGCCAGGAUGGCAAUCUGAGUCUGGCACGAUACCCGGACCUUGAGUAGGCAGGGAUGGCGGAGGGAGAGAAACAGAAGCGUUGCAGUAGCCUCUGAGUAUGUCGCAUUCCUCGGCAGUGAAACCCAGGGAGCUGAGCAUGGUGGGCCAGCACUGGUGCUCAAUUAUUCUUAUAGCCCGGCAGCAGCCAGGGCCCAGGGAAGUCUCACCGUUGAGGAAGAAGAGGAUGACCUCGGUGGUGCAAGCUUGCAAUUCCACCAGUGAGUCCCAGCACUCCACGCUGCCCACUUCCAGCCGAGCUGCUAGAUUGGGCUCGUAAGGCAUAGGUCGUGCUACUGCAUCCGACGACAGAAGGACCCAUGAUAGUAUCGAGUAGAGGAAGAGCUUGGAGAAUUCCAUGGUAUGAGAGAGGGAGAGGGAGAUGGAGAGAGAAGUCUGGUGUGGUCAGAUAUAAAGGGAUAGAGAUUGAAUGCCUACGUUACCAAUGUGGGGAGACCAUAAGGUGGAGAUGAUAAGUUACUGUGAUUGUUUGGGGGAGUUGAUGAGACGCCAUGACCCUCUCUUUAUGCCUACCGUUUCUCAACUGGUGAAUUAUGUCAUUGUGGGGCCCAGUGCCUCGGUGGUCAGUUUUUUUUUUUUUUUUUUAAAUUUAAUUUUAAUUUUAAUUUAUGAGUGGGGCCCAUGUUCCAGUGAUCUGGAGCAUUGGUUUGUUAGGUCCCACUUGUAUUUGUAGAACAAGCCUCUUACAAGCAUGACGCGUGGGGCCCACCGCAUCCAACCUGUCCAUAAGAUUUUUGCAAUAUCCCAUGUUGACUCUACUGGACAGGUUUGGAUAAUACAAUCACAUAAGAGUGGUGGAUAAGCUCUCACGCAAGGACUUAGGCACAGGAAACGCCCUUAAAAAGGAAAUUGCUCCUUGUUAUUGAGUGCAUUAUCAUGCAUUCUCUUACUUAUGAUAUGAUGAGUGAAAAUGCAUGCUGACGUGGCAAGUAAGUUCUCUUACUUAGAUGAUCCCAUUCAUUGUUAGAAUUUCUUUCUUUGAGUAGGGUAUAUAGAGGGAAGAUCAAGCUAGUAUUACUAAGGAUGUUUGGUUGAACAAAUCUCAAAAGAAUAUUACUAGUAGCAAUUAUCAUGAUUAGCAGCAGCAAUAAUAAAAGAAUAGAGAGCAGCCACAUCAACAGCUUGUUCAAAUUCAAAUGAAAUUUAGGUAACAAUUUCUCAAAAAAUAAGAA